GCACAAGCGGUGGAGCAUGUGGUUCAAUUCGAAGCAACGCGCAGAACCUUACCAGCUUUUGACAUGUCCGGUAUGGUCGUCAGAGAUGACUUCCUUCCCGCAAGGGGCCGGAACACAGGUGCUGCAUGGCUGUCGUCAGCUCGUGUCGUGAGAUGUUGGGUUAAGUCCCGCAACGAGCGCAACCCUCGCCCUUAGUUGCCAUCAUUUAGUUGGGCACUCUAAGGGGACUGCCGGUGAUAAGCCGCGAGGAAGGUGGGGAUGACGUCAAGUCCUCAUGGCCCUUACAGGCUGGGCUACACACGUGCUACAAUGGCGGUGACAAUGGGACGCAAUGGAGUAAUCCUGCGCAAAUCUCAAAAAGCCGUCUCAGUUCGGAUUGUGCUCUGCAACUCGAGCACAUGAAGUUGGAAUCGCUAGUAAUCGCAGAUCAGCACGCUGCGGUGAAUACGUUCCCGGGC
rnacentral:rRNA from 1 species